rnacentral:rRNA from 1 species
CCUGGCUCAGAUUGAACGCUGGCGGCAUGCCUUACACAUGCAAGUCGAACGGCAGCGGACCUUCGGGUGCCGGCGAGUGGCGAACGGGUGAGUAAUAUAUCGGAACGUACCUUUCAGUGGGGAUAACGUAGCGAAAGUUACGCUAAUACCGCAUAUUCUGUGAGCAGGAAAGCAGGGGAUCGCAAGACCUUGCGCUGAUUGAGCGGCCGAUAUCAGAUUAGCUAGUUGGUGAGGUAAAGGCUCACCAAGGCGACGAUCUGUAGCGGGUCUGAGAGGAUGAUCCGCCACACUGGAACUGAGACACGGUCCAGACUCCUACGGGAGGCAGCAGUGGGGAAUUUUGGACAAUGGGCGCAAGCCUGAUCCAGCCAUGCCGCGUGAGUGAAGAAGGCCUUCGGGUUGUAAAGCUCUUUCGGCCGGGAAGAAAUCGCACAGGUUAAUACCCUGUGUGGAUGACGGUACCGGAAUAAGAAGCACCGGCUAACUACGUG